GACGAACGCUGGCGGCGUGCUUAACACAUGCAAGUCGAACGGAAAGGCCCUGCUUGCAGGGUGCUCGAGUGGCGAACGGGUGAGUAACGCGUGGGUGAUCUGCCCCUUACUUUGGGAUAAGCCUGGGAAACUGGGUCUAAUACUGGAUAGGACCAUGCUGUAGGUGGUGUGGUGGAAAGAUUAGUUUCGGUAAGGGAUGAGCUCGCGGCCUAUCAGCUUGUUGGUGGGGUAAUGGCCUACCAAGGCGUCGACGGGUAGCCGGCCUGAGAGGGUGGACGGCCACAUUGGGACUGAGAUACGGCACAGACUCCUACGGGAGGCAGCAGUGGGGAAUAUUGCACAAUGGGCGCAAGCCUGAUGCAGCGACGCCGCGUGGGGGAUGACGGCCUUCGGGUUGUAAACUCCUUUCAGCCAUGACGAAGCCCUUGUGGUGACGGUAGUGGUAGAAGAAGCACCGGCUAACUACGUG
rnacentral:rRNA from 1 species